GACGAGCCGUGCGAACGUUGUUCGGAAUCACUGGGCUUAAAGGGCGCGUAGGCGGGCUAUCAAGUCUGGGGUGAAAUCCCGCGGCUCAACCGUGGAACUGCCUUAGAUACUGACGGCCUUGAGGAAGGUAGGGGCAUGCGGAACUGUAGGUGGAGCGGUGAAAUGCGUUGAUAUCUACAGGAACUCCGGUGGCGAAAGCGGCGUGCUGGACCUUUUCUGACGCUGAGGCGCGAAAGCUAGGGGAGCAAACGGG
rnacentral:rRNA from 1 species